GGCAAAAAGGCCGAUUAGCGCCCGCGGGUCUCGAACCCCCGGAGGGGCUGGUGGUUCAACAUGCAUGAAGGAAAGAAGUAACCGCUGAGCUAGAGCCGGCCCGACAGCAAGUUGCCUCUGCGGGCCCUAAGAGUUCUCCAGGGGGCGUGGCCAAGCAAAUGACUAAAGCCAGAAGUUAAAUGUCAUAGGUCCAUUAAGUUGCCAACCCUGAGGCGGGUCCUCAAAGGGGACAGGCCAACCCGGCGCCGACCGCGAGGGCCUGGCUGGGGGCGGGCUUUGGACGCCAGGCCGAUGCCGCUGAGCCCGGGCAGCUGAGCGGCGGACAGGUCUCCAGGCUCCUCGGAACCCGCAGGGCGCCGAUGAAAGCCCAGCCUUCUUGGGAAGAAGUUUCUUUCCCGCGGUGCGGGGAGGCGCGUGGCGUAUCCCGGUGUCUGCGGCUCGGAGCUUCCCGCUGAUGCGGCUGGUCCCCGCCCGCUCAGGGAAGGGGGCUGGGGAGAGGCGAAGAAACCCGGCUGGCCAGGAGGAGCCAAAGCGCCCCCUAGAGCGGGAUGCUGCAGCGGGGAAAUAAUGCGUGGAAGCUCCUCCUUGCAGGGUGGUUGGGGGCCAGGUUACUCCACCACCGUCCCUGGCUGUUGACUUCUCCAGCAUUUGUGCCUCCAGAGGCGGCGGGGCUCAAAUUAUUAAAAUAAUACCCUUGUGUGUAUGUACAUCAUUACUACACAAAUUAUGGAAUGUUUAUAAACUCCCCUCCCUCUGAAACGAGUUGGGCUUGUUUUAAAAGGCAGUGCCACUUUUGUGGGUGGGCGGGGUGAGAGUUGGCAAUGCUCCCCUUCCCCCCCAGUCACCACCCAAGCCCCGGCCGCAGCCCUAUGCAGCACUGGGGAGGACACCCCCUUGGCCUCCCUAGCCCCUCCGCUCCCCUAGCUGCCUUGCUGUGCCCCCUCAAUCCCUCGCCUUGCUCCUCUUCCUUCCCCCCCUCAUUGGGCCCCUCUGCUCCCAGCACCAUUUGGGGGCACUUGCUCCCCCCGUUUUCCUUCCACAUGGUAAUUUGACGAACCACAUGCCUAUCUAAAAUGUGAGGUUUGUGCCAUCGUGUUUAUUUUGCCGCUUUUCCCAGACUGUUCCUACAAAUCCUGCAAUCCACGACCACCUCAUGACGCUCUUCAUUCGGCAGGAAGUUUCCUAGCUCACGCUACCACUUCUUGAAUUGAAACGGUCCCGUGUCUACACUGGAGGGUGGAAGAAUCCCCCUUUUCUGACGUGGGUUUCCCUUCUCUCUGUUUUUUUCCCCAGAGUACAAUCACCAGCACCGCAGCAGAAUAUUGUAUAAUUUGUUAAAAAGAAAGGCCCCUAAUGACGAAAAUUGUGACAAUGAAGAACCAUCCUUGAAAAUGAACUGUGUAAAUGCUUCCUCAAGUAACAUUUUCCUGCAGUCAAUACAGAAAAACCAGACUGGGUAAUGAUCCGUGUGUCAGUGUAUCAAAGGACAUCCUUAGGUGUGUAGUUGGUGGCCAAUGUGCUCUGACAUCACCAGCGGGGGCAGAAUGUUUUGUUAAACAGAGUUUACCUGUUCAUGACAGGAAAACAACCUUUCUACGGCCAUAGAUAUUUUGCUGAACAAAGAGGAACAACCAGUACAGCCUAAGAUGAAUAGCCUUCUACAAAUGGUUGACAUUUCAACUGUGGUUGGUUUUCUUUGUACCCCUUCAUUGAAUACUCAGUUGUAGAGGAUUCUGUUUUUUGCUUUCCAUGCCGUCACUUUGCUUCUCAAACCACAAUUGGACCAGGAGAGCAAUUCAACAACAGAAAGAUUCAUUGACCGUGGCUUUAAGAAAUGGAAAGAUUUUCAUAGUUUGUUUAAAACAACAUUCACUCAGUUCCAGGCAUCAUGCAGCUUUCAUUUCAUGGUAAAAGUACUUCACAAUUAGGAUCAGCGGUUUGAAAAGUGUCGCAGAUCAAUUUGUUUCCAGUCGUCAGGCUAUCAUAGCUGAAAAUCGCCAGCAUGUUGAAACACUCUUAAAGGUCUCCAUGCUCUGUGCAAAACUGGGUAUUGCUUUUUGGGGGCAUGAUGAAACACACAACUCUAGCAAUAAAGAAAAUGUCAUUGAAAUUCUUGAGCUGGUUGCUUCUGCUCAGCCCAGCCUUUUGAAUCAACUAAGAAGCAGGUAUGAACACUAUACCUCUCACCAGUACCAGAACGAUUUGAUACAUUCUGCUGCAGAGAAAAUGUUGUUGAAGAGGUCAGACAAGCCAAGUAUUUUUCUGUCCUUGUUGAUGAAACUAAAGAUGCAUCAAAAAAAGAACAGCCAUGUCUCCUUUUAUGCUACCACCGAAAAGGAAUCAUUCAGGAAAGAUCUGUGGAUUGCUUCCACAUGGAAAAUCUAAAUGCUGAAUUUGUUUCAAAAAGGACAGCGUUUGAAGCUUCAUAUUAGUUACAUCGUUGCCCAAUGCUAUGAUGCAGCUCCUGUGCUGAGUGGGCAUUUAACAGAAAUACAAGCUUGCAUCCAGGAAACGAUUACACAUGCCAUUUAUGUGCACUGCCAUGCUCACAGGCUUAAUCUUGUCAUUGCAAGCACAUGUUCCAGCAUCACGCAAUGUCAGGAAAUCUUUGCGUUUGCUGAGGACCUGUGCUGCUACUUUAGCAGUAGUUGCAAGCACCAUGAACGGUUUAAGGAAGAGCAGGAGCUAGGCCAGAAGGUGCUUGAGCUAGGUAGAUUAUGUGAAACUCGCUCGUGCUGGUUUAACUCCUUCCAAAAACUGCAUGCAGGAUGGAAACACUGGGAGCUAUUUCUGUUCAGAGAGCUGAUGGCCCCAUCGGCUAGCACUGCCAAAGGUUUGAUGGUAAGGCAAAAGAGCUAAACCUUUCUGUUGAGGCUCUUGGUUUUGGGAAGAAUAUUCAAGAUUUUGAAUAGCAUUUCAGAAUUACAAAAUGAAAACCUGAAUUAAUCUAAUGCCAUGGAAUUAGUAGAAAUCAAUGUUGCUGCUCUUCAAGAAAUGAGAACAUCUGAAAGCAAAUGGAAAGACCUACAUGAUGAAACUGAAAGCAUUGCCAAGGAAUUUGAAAUUGCUACUCCAGGUCAGGCAGUCGCAACUGCUGAGCACAGCCAUACAAAAACAGCAAUAAGACCUAAAAAAAAACACCAAACAAAAAACCUGCAAGCUGGCAUUGUUGUUUGUGUCUAGUACACAGGGUCAGUCAUCUCCACAUUAUGUUCCCAAGAGCACUCCUGAAUCUAUAAAAUCUGAUUUUUACUAUUCUGUUUUGGACAGAAUUCUUGCAGAGCUCGAUAGACGAUUCACCUCCAACUCCAGUCUGCUUUCUGCACUAACUGCACAUGACCCAAACAGUGAAAAUUUUCUUGCAUAGGAGAAACUGAAAAUGAUUGCAGAUCACUAUGGCUCAACAGGCACCAAUUUUGACAGUCUGGACUUCGAUUUCUGAAUUCUGGAAUGUUCUCAUGGGCUUACCAGUCUUUGCUGUCUAUUGUAGAUAUUGUGUUGAGCCUUCCAGUGUCUACAGCAUCAAAUGGAGAGGUACUUCUCUGUGCUCAGAGUGUAAAGAACUACUUAGGAUCCACAAUGGGAGACAAGUGCUUAGGUGACUUGGUAAUUUUAGCCUGUGAAGGUGAAGCUUCAGAACACCUGAAUAUCAACGAGGCCAUUGACCAUUUUACCAAGAUGAGACGACGGCGUUAUCCAUUGCGUUAGCUCCUAUCUGGAGUGUUUUGUUUUCAGUAAUUUAUUUACCUGUAAAGAAAUUAACUGUCUCAUUCACCUCUUCACAAAUUGGAAUAUAAGACAUUUAAAAACCAACAACAAUUGCAGGGGUAAGCAGAUUUUAUUUUUAUUAAUUUAUCUCUACGAAGAGUGUACAAAGUAUCAAACUUGUUUCUGAUAUCUGUGUUAAGGCUCCAGAACUGAUAUCUCAAGGUGUGGGAUUGGGAAUAUCUUGCUGUAUUAUGUUCCGAUUGCUCUAAAUUGACAUAUAAAUUUAAAAUGUCUAUAA